rnacentral:rRNA from 1 species
UGCAGAACGACCAGAGAA